rnacentral:rRNA from 1 species
UACGGAGGGUGCGAGCGUUGUCCGGAAUCAUUGGGCGUAAAGAGCGUGUAGGCGGCCCGGUAAGUCGGUUGUGAAAGUCAAGGGCUCAACCCUUGAAUGCCGACCGAUACUGUCGGGCUAGAGUCCGGAAGAGGCGAGUGGAAUUCCUGGUGUAGCGGUGAAAUGCGCAGAUAUCAGGAGGAACACCGAUGGCGAAGGCAGCUCGCUGGGACGGUACUGACGCUGAGGUGCGAAAGCGUGGGGAGCAAACAGG